rnacentral:rRNA from 1 species
CGAAGGGAGCUAGCGUUGUUCGGAAUUACUGGGCGUAAAGGGCGCGUAGGCGGUUUGACAAGUUGGAUGUGAAAGCCCUGGGCUCAACCCGGGAAUUGCAUUCAAGACUGUUUUACUUGAAUUCGGUAGAGGUUGGUAGAAUUCCCAGUGUAGAGGUGAAACUCGUAGAGAUUGGGAAGAAUACCCGUGGCGAAGGCGGCCAACUGGACCGACAUUGACGCUGAGGCGCGAAAGCGUGGGUAGCAAACAGGAUUAGAUACCCUGGUAGUCCACGCCGUAAACGAUGCAUGCUAGACGUUCGAACCAUCAUGGUUCAAGUGUCGCAGCUAACGCACUAAGCAUGCCGCCUGGGGAGUACGGCCGCAAGGUUG